GCUUGCAAUUUAUUAAAAACAUAUGUCCAAUGUACUAUUUCCGGAAUAGGCCCAUACAUUAAUCCCCUUAAGGCCCAGUCCAAUUACAUCAAACCAAACUAGAUAACCAAACCAAAAUCGACCCAGGUUAAAACUAAUCUAAACCGGUAGCUAACCAAUUUAAAUCAGAAACCCUAAUAUACUAUCAGAAAACCUAAUCGUAGCCGCCUCCCCACAAAGCUGCGAAUACUCGCCGGCUCAGGACCACCGGCGAGCCAGGUAGACGGGAGCCGAACGGAGAAGGUGACACAGGACCAUCACCAUCCCGCCACCGUAGAGUCGUGAAGAGAAGGAAGAAGAGACCGAUCUAAACAAAUCCGAAAGCCUCAACUCAGAAAUGAUAGAGAAAAAGCGGUAGCGAGUAGAUCUAGGUAACCAACGGCGGUGGCUUAGCUUUGCCUUUCCAGCCGUUAACCUCCCCCGUCAAACGGCCGGCCGUGACGAAACCUCAUGCGCCUCCAGUCAGCCAGAUCUAACCGCUGAAUCUUGCUCGUUCCUCGUCGAGAACCUCCUCCUUCUAACCGCAUCGCCACACCACCAUCAUAGCUUUUACCGGUAGUGUCUUGCGGAAGCUUCUCCCCACCACAGACUCCCUUGAUUUCGAUUUGGUAACUUCGCCGGUAAGGAUGAAACUGACUACGGAUGAAGCGCCAUGGACCAUGGGUUCAGUCGACGC
rnacentral:lncRNA from 1 species